GACGAACGCUGGCGGCGUGCCUAAUACAUGCAAGUCGAACGAGUGGCGGACGGGUGAGUAAUGUCUGGGAAACUGCCCGAUGGAGGGGGAUAACUACUGGAAACGGUAGCUAAUACCGCAUACCAUCGGAUGUGCCCAGAUGGGAUUCGCUAGUAGGUGGGGUAAUGGCUCACCUAGGAGACGAUCCCUAGCUGGUCUGAGAGGAUGACCAGCCACACCUGAACUGAGACACGGUCCAGACGCCUACGGGAGGCAGAAGUGGGGAAUAAUGCACAAUGGGCGCAAGCCUGAUGCAGCCAUGCCGCGUGUAUGAAGAGGGCCUUCGGGUGGUAAAGUACUUUCAGCGAGUAGGCGUUACUCGCAGAAGAAGCACCGGCUAACUCCGUGCCAGCAGCCGCGGUAAUUC
rnacentral:rRNA from 1 species